UGCUGUGCCACUCUCACUGGAGGGAUUCCGAAGGAAGUACCUCGUGACGGUGCAUGGUUAAACAGCCAAGAGUCCCUUUCUCUCUCCCUCCCUCUCGCUAAUUCAGGACUGGAUGCAUGCACGAUCUGGUUUUUAACAGGGAGAGCACAUUACCAUGCACACUACUCCCUGCAGGCUCGCCAGAGAAUAGCGACAACAGCAGCUCUCUCACUCUCUCCCCCGCUCUCUCCACCUCUACCAGACAAGACUCCUCCUCUCCAUCUCUCUGUGACUCCCUCUCUCUCUCUUGCAUAUGAUCUGUACUUCACUUCCUCCCAGCUGAAGCAGGCGAUAACAGCACGCUACACACAGGCUAGCAGCAGGGGUCAUACAUAUCACAAGCAGCAAGAACUUGUGGGAAAUACGGGUGAAUAAAUAUUGUUUGAUGUAUCAGAGAACAGGAACACUCUCAAGGUCAGUAGAAGACACAUGCAACAUUAUGUUUGACAAAGUGCUUUGAUUUUAUAUAAUAUAUACCCAUCUAUCUAUCUAUCUAUCUAUCUAUCUAUCUAUCUAUCUAUCUAUCUAUCUAUCUAUCUAUCUAUCUAUCUAUCUAUCUAUCUAUCUAUCUAUCUAUCUAUCUAAUUGUAUGCCAAGUACCAUAAAUAGAUUAUUGUGGUGCUUAUUCUUAAAUGUGACAUGCUAGUCCACUACUAAUGUAAAUUAACUUGCUAAAAUUAGCCUAAAAUAUGAUUUUUAUAUAACAAAAUAUAGAAAACAUACAACAUAUUAAUCAUGUGAAUGUUAAAUUGCUAAAUUCUGUUUUAUAUCUCUACAUUUCUGCUAGGGAAAUACAGUAGAUGCAGUUGCCUUAUUGGGACUGCUCACUGUUCCACAUAUUGCUAAGCAACGGAGGAGAGGUCCUUGGAGAAUGUAGCCAGCCUUCUGACUCCAUAACACAGCCUUGGCACAUGCACACAUACACACACAGAUGGUGGUGAGCAGAUCUCGUUCCAUAGCGUUUGCUAUGCCUGUGUUACCAUGGAGGAUACAUAUGCACAUAGUUAGCAGAAGUGAUGUAAUGUUCUUCUUUUUAAUCAGUGCACAAGGGGGCAAUCAAGUGGUGAUGCCUCAACUUGAGCCCUGAAUGACUACAAUGCACAGACAAUUAUUGGAAUUAACCUAGUCUUCAUAGCAGUUCAGUACUUCUAUAUAUUUUUUAUUAGGGCUGUGAACUGAUUAAAAAGUGACAUCAAAUUAAUUACAUUGUAUGCUGAUUAAUUAAUCAAAUUAAUCACAUAAAGAAAAGACCCAAAUGACAAUAAAUUACAGACGUUAGAUUGUUGUGGUGAAACU
ensembl:lncRNA